GAAUAUGACAUCAGAAUAGAUAACCAUCAGUUUUGUUCUCCAAGAUGGGUUUUUACAUUUAAAAUAUCCUGUAUAUGAACAUACUAGCUAACAACUUUGCAAAUGAGGAUGGAGAUUUUGAUUGAAAGGAGGAUGGUUUGAUGGAUGCUCUCCUGGGCAGGAAAUUCUCUUGUGUUGAGACACUUUGAGCUCUGUGAACAUGCAGAUUUAGCUGGAAUAACAGGCAACAGCCAGGGUGUCAGCUUUCAGGUUCCAAGGAUUUGCCUACUGCAGAAGGACCCAUAGAGAAAACAAGUGACAUGAAAUUUUAUUUAGGUUUGUAUGUUUUUACUUUUUCAUUAUUAGCAGCCUUGUUUCAAAGAGAAGCAAAAACAAAAAACCCCCAACUCUUACAUUUAAAGGUAACUAUUGCUUU
rnacentral:lncRNA from 1 species